AACCAUCAUCCUUUCCUCUGUUGAGUGAUAAGCCAGCUAUCCAGUGAGCGAGACUCGAGUUGGGCUCCAGGCAGGAAGCACUGUAGCGCGCGUCCAGGGUCGCGGCGUAGAACCGGACGGGUGGCUCUCUUUGCAGCUCGCGGAGGCGAACCGGGCGGCAGUGCCAUGGCAGAACAGGAUGUGGAAAAUGAACUUUUGGAUUAUGAUGAAGAUGAAGAGCCCCAGGCACCCCAGGAGAGCACUCCAGCUCCCCCGAAGAAAGAUGUCAAAGGAUCUUAUGUCUCCAUCCACAGUUCUGGCUUCCGGGACUUUCUACUGAAGCCAGAGCUCCUGAGAGCUAUAGUUGACUGUGGCUUUGAGCAUCCUUCAGAGGUCCAGCAUGAGUGUAUUCCCCAGGCCAUUCUGGGUAUGGAUGUCCUGUGCCAGGCCAAGUCUGGGAUGGGCAAGACAGCUGUGUUUGUGCUGGCCACCCUGCAGCAGAUUGAGCCUGUCAAUGGCCAGGUAUCAGUCCUGGUCAUGUGCCACACGAGGGAGCUGGCCUUCCAGAUCAGCAAGGAGUAUGAGCGCUUCUCUAAGUACAUGCCCAGUGUUAAGGUUUCUGUGUUCUUUGGAGGCCUCUCCAUUAAGAAGGAUGAAGAUGUGUUGAAGAAGAACUGUCCUCAUGUUGUGGUGGGGACACCAGGCCGGAUCCUGGCACUUGUGCGGAGCAGGAGCCUCAACCUGAGGAAUGUGAAGCACUUUGUGCUAGAUGAAUGUGACAAGAUGCUGGAACAGCUGGACAUGCGCCGGGAUGUACAGGAGAUCUUUCGUCUGACACCCCACGAGAAGCAGUGUAUGAUGUUCAGCGCCACCCUGAGCAAGGAGAUCCGGCCAGUCUGCAGGAAGUUCAUGCAGGAUCCUAUGGAGGUGUUUGUGGACGACGAGACCAAGCUCACACUGCAUGGGCUGCAGCAGUAUUACGUCAAGCUCAAGGACAGUGAGAAGAACCGUAAGCUCUUCGACCUCCUCGACGUGCUAGAGUUUAACCAGGUGGUGAUCUUUGUCAAGUCUGUGCAACGCUGCAUGGCCCUGGCCCAGCUCCUAGUGGAGCAGAAUUUCCCAGCUAUCGCUAUUCACCGAGGCAUGGCCCAGGAGGAGCGCCUGUCCCGAUACCAGCAGUUCAAGGACUUCCAGCGACGAAUCCUGGUGGCUACUAAUCUGUUUGGCAGAGGUAUGGACAUUGAGCGAGUCAACAUUGUCUUCAACUAUGACAUGCCAGAGGACUCAGACACCUACCUUCACCGAGUGGCUCGUGCUGGUCGCUUUGGUACCAAGGGCCUGGCAGUCACUUUUGUAUCGGAUGAAAAUGAUGCCAAAAUCCUUAAUGAUGUUCAGGACCGGUUUGAAGUGAAUGUAGCUGAGCUUCCAGAGGAAAUAGAUAUCUCCACAUACAUUGAGCAGAGCCGGUAACCGUAUGUGUAGCCAGGGCAACAUGGCCACUCUCUUUCCCACCUGCUGCUUCAGAACCUCUUUCUAGAAAACUUCUUUGUGAGCUUCCAGACAGUGAUCACGAAAAUGGCAGCAUUGCACUGAGUGGGGAUCAUGGUCUCGGGUUAUAGGGCUGCAAGGAGUUAGCAGUCUGGCUGCUCAGGCCUCCAGUGCCCAGAGAGUACUUACGAAAAUGAUGAAGGCCACGGGUCCCGAAAAGCUCCAGAGAAAGCCCUGCUUCCUAAAGUCCAGCCAGCAGCUUGGGGAGGAGAAGGUGCCCCAUCAGUCAGUGCCCCAGCCCUGGCCCCGCCCAGCCUGGGCCUCACUUCAGUACACUCACUAUGUUGCAUGCCCAUAGCCAUCCAUUUUGACAACUGCCAUUGAGAUGGCCACGAUGAGGAGGGGCACCCCGUAGCCAAUCAGGCAGCGUUGCCAUGUACUCAGGCCUUGGCCCUGGAACACACGCACCACCAGGAAGUAGAGCUCCACGCCCUCCAGUGCCAUCCAGCAGAAGGCGGCCAGGAAGCAGAAAUGCAGCAUCACGGCCACCAGGCGGCAGCGCAGGCCCACCUGUGGGAUGGAGAGUUAGGAAGAAUCAGUGCCCGGUAGGACCACUGGGCUUCAAAGCCUCAUGCCCCAGCAGCGGGGCUCCAUCAGGUUCUGGCUCCACACUGAGCCCCAGCUGGGCCUUACUCCUAGGACUUAACUCCAUGCUCUGGAACUUACCUCACCCCCUUCAUUCUCCACGCCGACCAGGAAUAUGAUUGAGCCCAGGAAGAGGCAGAUGCACAGGUGCAGGUGCACCAUGGUUCGAGAGCUCUGGAUGGGCUUCACCAGCAGGAAGGUCAGGAUGCACAGCAGCAGGCAGAUCAGGGACAACAACAGCCCCACCUUGGUGAUCAAUUCCAGCCUUGGGUCCUAGGAGCAGGCAACCAGGAUGAGUGGUGUGCCCUCACACCCCUCCUACCUAUGAUCCUGCAUCCUGUCUUGGACUACAGGGCCAACUGGCUAAUUCAAGCUGACCAUGUGGCCCAGGUAAUAGCCAUGUUCAGGAAGCUACACUACCUGGAACAAUCUACACAGGGCCUUUUAUUUGCAGGGGAGGAGGGUUGCCGGGUGAAGUAUCUGUUGUCACUGUGCUUUCUGGAGAUGGAACUCGGGUUAUUAGGUUGGCUACCUGCAGGCACCUUUACUCACUGACCCAUCUCAUCUGCCCAGACUGGUGUGCUUUUAGCAGUUCUUGACAGUUGUGCAGUGACUCAGACAAGAGGCCUGCAUCCAUCAGCUACUGGGUCAUAAAGAGGAUUCCAGGGGAGGAGCUAAAAAGCAAGGCAUGGGGCCAUCCAAAGGAGCCUGCUUGAACAACACCCUUGAGUGGAGACCAUGCUCCUGCCUAGCACACCUGGCUACCUGUGGGUCUAGAGCUUACCGCUUACCUGCACAUGGUACUGAGCCAUUAGGAUGGCAAAGCUGGUCAGGUGGUUGCAGUGGCAGAAGCCAGUGCCAUUCAUUGAGCAGCCGUCGGUGUCCCAGUACCCAUUCCCGUUGUGGGCUUUCCAGAAGGCACAUAUCAGCUCAUGACGUGGCUCAAUUGACUCCACCUGUGGGCAGAUAGGUGGUGAGGGUGUCGGAAGCACACUUUGAGCACACUUAGGGCCAGUCUGGGGGAGCUGAGAACCUUGCUUUUGGCUACAUAAGUAUCUACUUUGUGCUCAGAGAGCAUGAGGAGCCAGCAACUGAACAACAGGACACCAGCCCUUGCCCUGAGCUGAAACAUCACAAGCAGUAGCAGGUAAUAAAUGCCAAGGAAAUUAAAAGAGCCAGCGGGAAUGGUUGCCUACAGAUUGUAAUUUAAAAACAAAAACUAGGUUUAUUGGAUGUCCUCAGUCUAUGUAUACUAUCUCAUACACUCCAGGCUGCCUCAAACAGCAAAGAGUUACAGAGACAAAGUUUGGAGCUGAGACGAAAAGAUGGACCAUCUAGAAACUGCCAUAUCCAGGGAUCCAUCCCAUAAUCAGCUUCCACACGCUGACACCAUUGCAUACACUAGCAAGAUUUUGUUAGAAGGACCCAGAUAUGGCUGUCUCUUGUGAGACUAUGCCAGGGCCUGGCAAACACAGAAGUGGAUGCUCAUAGUCAGCUAUUGGAUGGAUCACGGGCCCCCAAUGAAGGAGCUAGGGAAAGUACUCAAGCUGCUGAAGGGAUCUGCAAUCCUAUAGGAGGAACAACAAUAUGAACUAUCCAAUAACCCCUGGAGCUCGUGUCUCUAGCUGCAUAUGAAUCAGAAGAUGGCCUAGUCGGCUAUCAGUGGAAAGAGAGGCCCAUUGGUCGUGAAAACUUUAUAUGCCUCAGUACAGGGGAACACCAGGGCCAAGAAGUGGGAGUGGGUGGGUAGGGGAAUGGGUGGGGGAGUGUGUGGGGGACUUUUGGGAUAGCAUUGGAAAUGUAAUUGAAAUAAAUACCCAAUAAAAAAUAU